CACUCUGUCUCUCAGCCUUUCCACCGUCUGUUAGAGAGAAUUUCAGAGUUCAAAUGAGAAAAAAAUCACCACAUCGACACGUCCAAAUGCUUAUCGCUGUCUUUGGCAGCAUUUUUGUAUAACAAUUCAAGCUACGUUCUCCGUUUCGACCUCGAAUCAUUUAUAAAGGCAGGUCUCUCCCUGACGACGCAGGGAGAGAAUAGGCUGCCAGCGUGGGUGGUCUGGGGCUCAGGAGCCCAAACUCGGAGGGAACAGAUGACAUCAUGGAUUCACAUGGCAGGUUUAUGAAGCUGCAGUUCAGCUCUCCGGAGCAGUAGGCCCAAGUUGCUGCAUUAUCUCUGCUAGAGCAUUCAACGCUGGACAGACACGGGACAGGGAGAGUAGGAAAUGAUAUUUUUUAACUUGACAUUCAGGAAGAUUUGAAGAUUUACAAGCAUUAGCAGGAUACUUCUGAAGCUCUAUACACUGGGGGAAGGGAGGCUGGGCUCAUUGCACCCGAAUGAUUUUGCAAACCGGCACACCUACCCGUCCCUUUGCCUGUCUGAUUUGCUAAUUCUGUUUUUUUUUUCUUCCCCCUCCCAAAAAGACUGUUAUUGGCCUUUUCUCAGACUUCUGUUAGGCAUUCUGGGCUGGCACAGAGGAUCACUGAACACCACUUUCUUCACGGGCCUGCAGGAAUUUCAAUCUGGGGUGAGGUUUAUGCAAACACAAAUUAAAUCAGACAUCCAUGGAGUUUUCACCAGAUUUCAAGGUUAUCGGAAAACACCUGCCCUUCAUAAGAGAAUGUUCCUGAAUCCUAGCCCAGGGACCCACUGAGCUUUCUGCUCAUGACACAAUCUCACGAUCUUUCCCAGGCUGGAAUGCAGUGGUAUGAUCACAGCUCGCUGCAGCCUCAAACUUCUGGCCUCAAGCAAUCCUUCUGCCUCUGCCUCCCAUACUGCUGGCAUUACAGGCAUGAGCCACCACACCUGGCCAUCAUUUACCUUUUUGAUUGACGUUUUCUGACAUCUUGCCCAAGGCAUUUUUGUGGACAUUACCUUUCCUUCCAUCAAUGCACCCUGUCGUGUUAAAGAACACAAGAUAUCUAAGUGUAAAUGUCUGAAACUCACACGGCUUUCAUCCGCAACUGCCCCAAAAUUCAAAAUAGGAGAGAGUCUUAGGAAUGUCUGAAGAUUUAUGACUGUUUUUUAAAAGAGGGGGAAAAUUGUCACCAGCAAAGGAUAGCCUUGAGUUUCUUUUUCUGACCCUGCCAUAGCCUUGGGAGCAGCUGCAAGGGGACUUGGUUGUCAUAAAGAGGCCAUGCAAGGAUGCUACAGACAGCUGAGUCGCAAAUGCGCCUGAGCCGCUGAUCUUCGUGGGGUCCUGUAAUAAACACUCAGUUGUCCAACGAAAGGAGUCUGACUCCCACAGGGAAGUUGCCAAGAAAAAUUGAUCAGCCGAUGGAUUUUGCUUUUUGUAAACUCUGGCACUUAGACAUUUCCCUUUAACAGCGUUUGAGAUGACUUUGCUAGGGCGGCAGCUGGAAUGGGAAUCAGAUGGUGUCGGAAUGGAGCGGGGUCAAGAGCCUGCAGAGCCCAUGGAGACAAAAGACCUAGCUUCCAGUUCCAGCCACUCACAGGCUGUUGCUGGCACCUUCUCUCAGUCUCAGUUUCCUCACCUGGAAAUGAAUGGAGAAGAAUAGUAUCUGCCUCCUGAGUCGAUUUGAAAGGCUAAAUGAGAUAAUGUACAUGUAGAAGGAUGUCAGUGUUUAACCGGGGUUGCCAUGGAAACAACAAUGUCCCUGUGGUGGGGAGUUGCUUCUUUCCUUUGUCUGCUGCUUUGGAAUGAGUGGGUCGCUGCCUCUCUCCUCUCUUUUUUUGGUGGCUAAUGACUUGGGAUUUGGUUUUAACAGAUUAUAAGACCUAGUGACAAUAGGGAAUACAACCUUGGGAUUGAGGAUGAAGACAGUGUGUAAGGGGGGUUCCCUGGGGAUGGAGGGUGGGGUGAAAUAGUGUGGAGAAGAAGAACAAUUCUGGGGUCAGGAUGCCCAGGGUGGAAUUCUGGGGGCCAGCCCCUGGCAGUGGGGCAGUGCCAGCUGAGAUCAUGGAGAGGAGGAUCAGAGGGAGGGCUGCGAUUUCAUCUUACACUGUUACCUACUCUACACCAUCAGAAUAAACUGACUUUCCAAUGGACAGAGAUGCCCAGCAGGCCUGCAGAACUGGUUCUGCUCCAUCCUUGGGUGCCUGGUCCAUGGUUAGCUUGAAGGGACCCUUGGAUGCUAAAUGAAGUGGUAGGAUGAGCUUCCACCCUGGGCAAGGCCAAAGGCUGGGCUGAGCCAAGGAAGGACUGAACGUGACUGCUGAGUGGGGGCAGUGGUCUGUGAGCACUACUGCUAUAGGCUGAAUGUUUUUCUUCCCCCAAAAUUCAUAUGUUGAAAUCCUAACCCCCAAGCAAUGGCAUUAGAAGGUGGGGCCUUUGAGACAUGAUCAGUCAUGAGGAUGCAGCUGUCAUGAAUGGGAUUAGUGCCCUUAUAAAAGAGACCCAGAGAGCUUCCUUCCUCCUUUUCCAUGUGAGGAGACAGUAAGAAGCCUCCAUCUGUGAACCAGGAAGUGAGCCCUCACCUGACAUUGAAUUUGCUGGCAACUUGACCUAGGACUUCCCAGCUUCCAGAACUGUGAGGGAUAAAUGACUGUUGUUUAUAAGCCACCCAGUCUAUGGCAAUUUGUUAUAGCAACUUGAACGGACUGAGGCAGCCACCUCACAUGUGGAUGCCCUUCACAUGUGCUGGACACUGAAGGAGGCUGUUACUACCAUUUUCCCUGGUUGUUGAGAAAAACUUUCAAUACAGCAGUUACAAACACAGCUUGGUGUUUUUGUUUUUUUUUUUAUUUAAAUAUUUUUCAACUGGCUACUAGAAAGUAGCUGUUUGAGGUAAAGCAUCACCUAGAUUCUCAUAGAAAUUUCUUUGCAAUGCCAUCAUGCUCAGGGGUUUUCAUCUUGAAUAUAGGAAGAUGUUUGUUAUUGCUUGCUUGAAUAUCUGUAGAUGCCACUCAGAUUUAACAUUUCAUUUCUUUGUCCUUUUUUAAAAUUCUAGAUGAAAGAUCCAAUAUCUUUAUUUUUCCCCAGAUUCCCGCUGGGAACAGGAGCCAUUCAUAAACUUCCUCUGAAAGGUAGUCCUCCUGCGUCACCUCCUUCAGGACUCACAGCAAGUGUCCCAAGAGGACGGCAAGAUGUGACGGUCAGAUCACAUGCCUUCCGUCUUGUCUUUCCAAUCACCUUUCUUGGCAUUCUAUAAAUCAUCCCUCCUGCAAAGCCAACACCUAGUUUCUAGAUUAGGGAGUGUUUCCAGAGAGAGCCCAACGUGGAAAUCACAGACUGUUUGAACCAAAUCUCUGAAGGUAACAGUGGCAUCCCAGCCCUUCUGUUUUCUCAUAAAAUCAUGAUGACAAAUGAUUCAUCCCAGGUCACACAACUGAAAAAAUGGCAUAGUCAGAAACUGAUACUGAGGGUUCUCACCCCAAGAAGAUCUGCCUCUCGAGGCCUGAGGGGAAUUCUACAGCAAAACCUGCAGCCCUAAACUCCUGCAGUUGAAAGCCUGGGAUUCUGUUUAACAAUAAUGAAAAUCUUCAAUCAGCACCAAAGUGGAAAUCACGCACUAAUUGGAGUUCAAUGAUGCAGAUAAUAUGGAUUGGAGUACGCUGGCUGACAGAGAACUCCCCAGCAGCUGAGGCACUUUCUCUGCAUUUCAGCACUAGCAACAGAACCCAGAACAAAAAGGUAAGAGACAGAAGCUGUUGGGAAAAUUGUGUUCCCCGUAUCUGUGCAUUUCAUUUCUACCUGCAAUCCAGACCCCUGAAGAAUGAACUGUGGACAGACUUCAUCAUCACGAACACUCAGAAUCCUCUGUGAGUGAGAAGGACUGUGGACCAGCAGCCACUGCUGAGCAGUGUCAAGGGUACAUCCUUUGCUUUGGAGAGAAAGUCAUCACAUUCCUCGCCAUUGGUCUAAAAGUUAAAUUUGGCUAAAUGCUUUAAAAUGUUCAAGUUACUUAAUAAGUAACCAUGACAAAUGAGGCAAACCUGAUUUUGUCCUUCAGUGUUCGGUCAUCCCUUUAAGAGGAAUGACUAAAACAUAAUAAUACUCUUAAGGUGAUCUCAUUCUCUAAAAACAUUCCUUUAUAUCAUGUUUCUACAUAAGCAUCUCAUCCAUGUAGCUGUUAACUUCAAAAUUAACUCAGUCAUUUAAUUUAGUUCUGUUUCAAGUAACUAAGUCCUUUGUAACUCCAUGGAAGGAAAAUAAAUACGAAUCAACUUCAUUAUUUUUUUCAGGAGAAUUUGAUAUUUUCACUGUUUAUGAUUCACAGCAGUACUGAAAUCCAAAAGUAAACUGUAUAACUAAUUAUGUCAUUUAAAGAAUGAUUCCAAAUGAUUCAAUUCAUGGAAAGCUGUUAUGAGAAAAUGAAAGAAAAGUAAAAUGGGAG
rnacentral:lncRNA from 1 species